UACGUAGGGUGCGAGCGUUGUCCGGAAUUAUUGGGCGUAAAGGGCUCGUAGGCGGUCUGUCACGUCGGGAGUGAAAACACGGGGCUUAACCCCGUGCCUGCUUCCGAUACGGGCAGACUAGAGGUAUGCAGGGGAGAACGGAAUUCCUGGUGUAGCGGUGAAAUGCGCAGAUAUCAGGAGGAACACCGGUGGCGAAGGCGGUUCUCUGGGCCGUAACUGACGCUGAGGAGCGAAAGCAUGGGGAGCGAACAGG
rnacentral:rRNA from 1 species